UACGUAGGGUGCGAGCGUUGUCCGGAAUUAUUGGGCGUAAAGAGCUCGUAGGCGGUCUGUCGCGUCUGCUGUGAAAACCCGAGGCUCAACCUCGGGCCUGCAGUGGGUACGGGCAGACUAGAGUGCGGUAGGGGAGUGUGGAAUUCCUGGUGUAGCGGUGAAAUGCGCAGAUAUCAGGAGGAACACCAAUGGCGAAGGCAGCACUCUGGGACGGUACUGACGCUGAGACGCGAAAGCGUGGGGAGCAAACAGG
rnacentral:rRNA from 1 species